rnacentral:rRNA from 1 species
GAUGAACGCUGACAGAAUGCUUAACACAUGCAAGUCUACUUGAACUUCGGUUUGGGUGGCGGACGGGUGAGUAACGCGUAAAGAACUUGCCUCACAGUUAGGGACAACAUUUGGAAACGAAUGCUAAUACCUGAUAUUAUGAUUUUAGGGCAUCCUAAGAUUAUGAAAGCUAUAUGCGCUGUGAGAGAGCUUUGCGUCCCAUUAGCUAGUUGGAGAGGUAACGGCUCACCAAGGCGAUGAUGGGUAGCCGGCCUGAGAGGGUGAACGGCCACAAGGGGACUGAGACACGGCCCUUACUCCUACGGGAGGCAGCAGUGGGGAAUAUUGGACAAUGGACCAAAAGUCUGAUCCAGCAAUUCUGUGUGCACGAUGACGUUUUUCGGAAUGUAAAGUGCUUUCAGUUGGGAAGAAAAAAAUGACGGUACCAACAGAAGAAGUG